rnacentral:rRNA from 1 species
UGAGUUUGAUCAUGGCUCAGGACGAACGCUGGCUGCGUGCUUAACACAUGCAAGUCGAACGCUGAAGCCGACAGCUUGCUGUUGGUGGAUGAGUGGCGAACGGGUGAGUAACACGUGAGCAACCUGCCCCUGACUCUGGGAUAAGCGCUGGAAACGGUGUCUAAUACUGGAUAUGUCCCAUCACCGCAUGGUGUGUGGGUGGAAAGAUUUAUCGGUUGGGGAUGGGCUCGCGGCCUAUCAGCUUGUUGGUGAGGUAAUGGCUCACCAAGGCGUCGACGGGUAGCCGGCCUGAGAGGGUGACCGGCCACACUGGGACUGAGACACGGCCCAGACUCCUACGGGAGGCAGCAGUGGGGAAUAUUGCACAAUGGGCGGAAGCCUGAUGCAGCAACGCCGCGUGAGGGAUGACGGCCUUCGGGUUGUAAACCUCUUUUAGCAGGGAAGAAGCGUGAGUGACGGUACCUGCAGAAAAAGCACCGGCUAACUACGUGCCAGCAGCCGCGGUAAUACGUAGGGUGCAAGCGUUAUCCGGAAUUAUUGGGCGUAAAGAGCUCGUAGGCGGUUUGUCGCGUCUGCUGUGAAAUUCCCGAGGCUCAACCUCGGGCUUGCAGUGGGUACGGGCAGACUAGAGUGCGGUAGGGGAGAUUGGAAA